CCUACGGGCGGCAGCAGUGGGGAAUAUUGGACAAUGGGCGAAAGCCUGAUCCAGCCAUGCCGCGUGUGUGAAGAAGGCCUUCGGGUUGUAAAGCACUUUCAGUGGGGACGAAAGCCUUGGGGCUAAUACCCUCGAGGAAGGACAUCACCCACAGAAGAAGCACCGGCUAACUCCGUGCCAGCAGCCGCGGUAAUACGUAGGGUGCGAGCGUUAAUCGGAAUUACUGGGCGUAAAGCGCGCGUAGGCGGUCUGAUAAGCCGGUUGUGAAAGCCCCGGGCUCAACCUGGGAACGGCAUCCGGAACUGUCAGGCUAGAGUGCAGGAGAGGAAGGUAGAAUUCCCGGUGUAGCGGUGAAAUGCGUAGAGAUCGGGAGGAAUACCAGUGGCGAAGGCGGCCUUCUGGACUGACACUGACGCUGAGGUGCGAAAGCGUGGGUAGCAAACAGGAUUAGAUACCCUUGUAGUC
rnacentral:rRNA from 1 species